UCCAUAGCGUCUCACGCAUUACAUCGUGCAGCCUUCUGCUCACAAUUUGUGCUGCUUUGAAAUGGACACCGUGUCCGAUUGCAAUGCAUCACCCGAAGAGUACCCGGUUUCUCAGUCCGAUCUUCGGAAUGACGAAUGCCAUGUUCCUGUGGACGCUGGGCUACUAGAAGAAGCAUGCGGCAGCAAAAUGGAUGCUAGCGAAAUUGGGCAACCUACGACCGUUCGAUGUAAGCGGAGCUGCUCUGUUAUCGAGAAUGGUCGAAGUGUGAGACAGAGGACGUCCUCACCACGACGUAAUACCAGAAACUCAUCAACGGAAAGGACUGCGGCGUUACGUGCCAGGGGCAACACAGGCCAGGGAAGAGCACUGGAUCUCCGCGAGCGGGCACCUCUAACCCGAACAGGCGUAAGAGAAGUCGAAGUACCAGUUGACGUUAUGGAAGACGCACUCUUCGAAGCUCUGGAAUUGUUUAUGGGCAUAUUCGCCCGGGAAUUGCUGAGACAGAUGAACCAUUUGUCGGCCGCCACGGAUGCUGCUUAAGGAACCUACGUCGACUUCGGCGUUCCAUGAUGGUGUCAGAUUCAAAAUUGAAAUGAAGCAGUGUGUCCUAAUGACCCUGUCAAAGUAUGUCUGCAACCCUCAUUGGUAAUGUCGGGCAUUACAGCAACGUUCACAAAGAACGCGACUUACUAAUAUCGAGUGACCUGGUCAAAAUAUUCGGGUUCCGUCACAUGUUUCGACACUUGAGAGUACUGAUAGUGGCGAAAACCAAGAAAAGGCGAUAUGAAGGGAUUCUUUCACAGGAAGCACGUGGAAGGCUAACGCACUCCUGUCUUUCAUCGAUUUGGAGCCUGGCUCCGUCAGCUGUCCCGCUCUCUUUCUGCACCAGAUCAUGUAGUCCAUCACACUCGCUCUGCUUCCCUUUGGGUCGCAUGGCACUAUGCUGCAAGCGCAUGGUGGCGCUGCAGUAUUUCUCCUGCCACGAUAUUGCGCCUCCUUAUCGCCAACGCCGUAUAUAGUUGCAUGACCAACUCCCUUCUUAAGUUGAACAAGACUAUAAUAUAUUUGACAGGCUCUCGUACUUUCUUUACCUUGUCUUGGCUUGGAAAUGCGAUUCUAGGGUUUCAUUUGCAUAUAAAAAUUCAUAAAUUAAUUUCUUUACGCUGGUGCGUGUUUCAGGAUUUUUUUGAACGUGGAAUGGCUUUCAAUUUGGAUAGUUUCUUAUUCUAUUUUCCCGGUUUUGCCCGAUAUACCCUAAUUAAAGCGACCCUGACCAGAAGUUGUGGGAGCGCUUUCGUACUUGCAGUCGAUAGAGCACCCAACAAGGACUCGCCAUGCGAAAAUUCACGCAUUAAAACCCCACGGUUUCUCUAAACUCUAAUUUUAAACAUUCGACUUCAUCCGAGUGCAACACGUUUAGCGUCAAACCAAGAAAACAUACGUUUAUAUAGUAUAUUCACCCUGGCCCGCCAUCAAAAUGACGUCAACAUGAGGGCCACUGGCAACAUCCACAAUUGGCUCAAACCUGUCACAUGGUCACAGAAUACCCUGUCAGUUCCCUUUAUGAAAUGGCAUUUAUAUGUUAAUAUGUUUUUGUUACAGAGUCUCAAAAAGAAAAAUAUACCCUGCAUUUAACACAUGCAGUAGGUUCUACGAUUGCCUUUUCAAUAUGCGUUCUGUUGUCUUGCGUUCCAUAUGGUUCCGUAUCCGGCCAGCUGUAAUGGCUGCCAUAUGACGAGGUUGCGAACUUGUGUGAUUCCCGGCUCAUCCUGCCUUUUUCGGGUCAUUGUAUUUGGUGUUGGGGUUGUUCCCCAUAUUCUGAACGUUUCACCUAUCAUUGCGGCGUACUGUUCUUGAUCUGCUGCGAAGCAACGAACCGCUACGGCAGUCACUUGCCUUAGCGAAAUUCUGUCUGCUGCAUAUCAAAGGAGAUUGGGACCUGAUGAUGUACUGCAAAUGCUGAAGUUGAAUUCUUUGAACCUUCAUCUAUAGAAACCAAGUGUGCUCUCGUGUGGUUCUGAGGGAAAACCAGAUUCAACAAGGUUAGCACAUUUAUUUUUCAUUUCCAAGUCUACCUACCCAGACCCAUGCAAGUGCAUCCGAUCAUUCUCGUAGAUGCUCUGUAACACGUAUGCUUUCUUACGUAUACCACAGAACCCCCGUUAUACUUUAUGUGAUCCAUCUGAUGGCUCCUGACUAGGUUAUGCUGCUCUGAAGCAUUGAGAUGACAAAAGAUCAUGGGGGCUGCACCUCUGCUUUCCAAAGAUGAAUCAGUCAUCCCACACUGUGCUUACUGGCUUUGUAUCAAGUCUGACAAAUCCGACAGACCUGGACUGCCGUUUUCAAGGAAGUUUGAAAUAUAAAGCAUCCCUUAUGCACCUGCAUUCCAAUUAAGAUCUGUGUUACAAGAAUGACAGACCACUCAACAGCGAUGAACAUUUGAAGGUGGAAGCAGUGGAAGUGCUGGAACGAAGAUGCCUUAAUCUGUGUGAAAGGUGCUUUGUAUGUGCCUGAGCCGUGGGCACAGGUCACAAGCUAAUUUCUUCCUUCAGAAGAGGUGUCAACUAUGCUCUUUCUAUCUACUAACCAGCUCCACAGUUUAAGGUUCCCUGUAAACAAAUGGAGCACAUCAUAUACCAGCACGUUGUUAACCAUGUUGAGUCUAUCAAUUUCUUUUUUGUUUUAAUUCGAACAUGGCUUUAGAAAAGGGUAUUUAGACAAAACUAACAUAAUUCGGUCACAGCAUUUUAAACUGUCUUGAUUUCUGGGUUUACGUAGUGAGUUUACGUAGUGGGUUUACUGGGUUGUGAGGGCUUUUGACACUGUGCUUUAUGCUUGCUUGUUGGCCAAACUAGCCUCAUUAAAAUUUGAUCCUGCUACCAUUAACUGGAUAUGCGGUUUCUUGACUAACCGCAACCGUGCCAACAAUUCGUGAGUAGAACCUAUCAUGUCGCCACCAUGCAGCAUUUGUCACGUUACAUUUGCAUCACAUUUUAAUCUAGUGUGAAGCAAGGCCUUUAGGUGAUCGGUCUUGUAUAAUUACACGCCCCUCCAUUAUGUAACACCACACGGUUCUUCAACCUAUGACAGAUAAAUAAAUGUAUUGUAUUGUAUAAAUAU